rnacentral:rRNA from 1 species
CCUACGGGUGGCAGCAGUGAGGAAUAUUGGUCAAUGGGCGGAAGCCUGAACCAGCCAAGUAGCGUGUGGGAUGAAGGCACUACGGGUCGUAAAUCGCUUUUGCACGGGGAUAACACCCUCCACUUGUGGAGGUCUGCAGGUACCGUGCGAAUAAGGGCCGGCUAAUUCCGGGCCAGCAGCCGCGGUAAUACGGAAUGACCGAGCGUUAUCCGGAUUCAUUGGGCUAAAGGGGAGCGUAGGCGGGCGUUCAAGUCAGCGGUAAAAUAGCGCGGCUCAACCGCGCCCCGCAGUUGAAACUGGACGCCUUGAGUUCACAACAGGCAGGCGGAAUUCGUGGUGUAGCGGUGAAAUGCUUAGAUAUCAGGAGGAACAUCGGUGGCGUAAGCGCUUUACUGGGCCGUAAUUGACGCUGAGGAACGAAAGCCAGGGUAGCAAAUAGGAUUAGAUACCCGAGUAGUC